AUUGAACGCUGGCGGCAGGCCUAACACAUGCAAGUCGAGCGAGCGGCGGACGGGUGAGUAAUGUCUGGGAAACUGCCUGAUGGAGGGGGAUAACUACUGGAAACGGUAGCUAAUACCGCAUACCAUCAGAUGUGCCCAGAUGGGAUUAGCUAGUAGGUGGGGUAACGGCUCACCUAGGCGACGAUCCCUAGCUGGUCUGAGAGGAUGACCAGCCAACCGGGAACUGGGGCAAGGGCCAGACUCCGACGGGAGGCAGCAGUGGGGAAUAUUGCACAAUGGGCGGAAGCCUUAUGCAGCCAUUGCGGGUGUAUGAAGAAGGCCGUCGGGUUGUAAAGUACUUUCAGCGGGGAGGCGGUACCCGCAGAAGAAGCCCCGGCUAACUCCGGGCCAGCAGGCGCGGUAAUUC
rnacentral:rRNA from 1 species